rnacentral:lncRNA from 1 species
CAUCUUGCCCGCCCCUCGUCGAAGUCCGACCCGCAGCUAGCUCAGCCGGCGGCCGGCGAGCACAACGUGAGAGGUGUCCGUGUGUUUAGGAAUGUACCUCUCAAGUUCAUUCCUGAGCAUCACGCAGUGUAUAGUGGUAGGAUAGUUACGCUCAACAAGUCUGGCGUUGUUGGACACAGGCCGGCACCACCACAGGUCCUCCAAGAGGCUCAGAUCUUAGAUGUUGAUGAUCUCACCAACCUGGCACUCCUACCACCUUCUCCGGAGCCAUCCUUAGGUCCGUGCAGAAGGGGCAAGAGAAUCAUGACUCCCGGCUACUCUUCAGGUGGCAACAACAAGGGGACCAGGAGAGACUCCACCGGAGAUGCAUUUAAUAGGCUGGCUGACCUGAGGGUUCAGUCCAAUGAAAGUAAGGCCAGGAGGGAGGAGCAGAAGCAAGCGAAGAGCGCUAGAGCAUGCAUGGAAAUGCUCAAGGCUGAUGGGAUUAGCAUGCAGGAUCCCAUCUACCACACAAUCCUGAGGAUGCUUCGUGAUGGGUACCUGUGUGAGUUCUUCAUUGAGGACUGCAUCGAGUUCUUCAUUGAGGACUGCACCACACCAGAGGGUCGCAUGUACUUCAUCCAGCUGCGUGGUGCACCAGACCUCACUCCUGACCCCCUGUUGUUUGCUCCACCGCCACCACCAACCUGCUCAGGCCAUGUUGAGGGCUGGUACAAGAGGUUCAGUCCUCAUGACGAUGAUGGUAGCGACGGUGCUAAUGGUGGUGCUGAUGGUGCAGCAGUGAACAUGAGCACUUCUGAAAGAUCAUAUGGUUCUAAGGAUGGCUACUACAGUGAGGAGGAGGACUCCUUUCUGGACAUGUUGGUUGCGGCUUUGAAGGCAAAGCUAUGUGUGAGGGCAGCACGUUGGGUAUCGCAACAAUCUGGAAUGGAAUGGGUGAUGGAGACAAUGGAAAACCCAUCUCAAUGCCAAGCAAUUUUCCGUCUGAUGCCAGAUCAAAUCCAUGCUCUGUUUGGGUUACUUACUAAUCGAUACAAUCUUCAUGGAUCAAUUGAGGUAUGCCCAAUGGAAGCACUUGGAAUAUUUUUAUACAUCAUGGCGGGGGGCAAUUCAAAUAGGGCCACUAAUAAUAGGAUGGUAAGAUCUGGGUCUACUGUCUCUAACUACAUCCAUAGAGUGCUUAAUGCGGUUUAUGCUGCUGACAUAAAUAAGCCGGUAGAUCCUAACUUUGCAAGAGUUCAUUAUCGUGUCCAGAAUGAUGAAGAAUUCCAGCCAUUUGCUGGUGCGGCUGGUGCAGUGGAUGGAGCACACAUUCAUUGCAUUGUGGCAGUGGAUGAUUCCAUUCAACACAGGAACCGUCACCACAUAACUUCUAGGAAUGUUCGUCGCUAUUGGAUUGGACGACCGUGUCAUUUUUGCAGAUGUUGGGUGGCUAGGGUCUGUGCAUGA